rnacentral:rRNA from 1 species
CGAACUGUGCGAACGUUAUUCGGAAUCACUGGGCUUAAAGGGUGCGUAGGCGGCUGCCUAAGUCAGGUGUGAAAUCUCUCGGCUCAACCGGGAAACUGCGCUUGAUACUGGGCGGCUUGAGUGAGGUAGGGGUGUGUGGAACUUCCGGUGGAGCGGUGAAAUGUGUAGAUAUCGGAAGGAACGCCAGCAGCGAAAGCGGCACACUGGGCCUUUUCUGACGCUGAGGCACGAAAGCCAGGGGAGCGAACGGGAUUGGAUACCCCGGUAGUCCUGGCCGUAAACACUGAACACUCGAGGAGGGGGGCUUCGGCCUUCUUUCUCUUAGCGAAAGCGUUAAGUGUUCCGCCUGGGGAGUAUGGUCGCAAGGCUG